UACGGAGGGUGCAAGCGUUAUCCGGAUUUACUGGGCUUAAAGGGUGCGUAGGCGGGUCUGUAAGUCAGUGGUGAAAUCUCCGGGCUUAACCCGGAAACUGCCAUUGAUACUAUAGGUCUUGAAUAUCCUGGAGGUGAGCGGAAUAUGUCAUGUAGCGGUGAAAUGCUUAGAUAUGACAUAGAACACCAAUUGCGAAGGCAGCUCACUACGGGAUUAUUGACACUGAGGCACGAAAGCGUGGGGAUCAAACAGG
rnacentral:rRNA from 1 species